CGAAAUGCGAUAAGUAAUGUGAAUUGCAGAAUUCAGUGAAUCAUCGAAUCUUUGAACGCGCAUUGCGCCCGCCAGCACUCUGGCGGGCAUGCCUGUUCGAGCGUCAUUUCAACCCUCAGAACCCCUUGCGGGAUCUGGCGUUGGGGAUUGGCAUCCAGCCAGCCCCGAAAUCUAGUGGCGGUCCCUCCGCGACCUCCCCUGUGCAGUAGCGAUACCUCGCAGCGGGACAGCGGUCUGACCACGCCGUAAAACCCCCAACUUCUCAAGGUUGACCUCGAAUCAGGUAGGAAUACCCGCUGAACUUAAGC
rnacentral:misc_RNA from 1 species